UAGGGUUAAUACUGUUACUUCUGGUAGUAAUAGUAUUACAACUCAAGCUGCACCCAUUCCUCAGAUUAGAGGCCCUCAAGGCAUGCAGAACAACACGCCAGUGACUAACAGCAUAGACAUACAAGAGACAAGCUUCAAUAAAGGUUCAAUAUUCAAGGGCCAUACGUCGAAGACAUCCCCACUUGAAAAUAGACAGUUCAAUUUGCGGGGCGAGAGAGAAGCCCAGGCUUCACUCGGAGGGUGUUUGAUUGAGCUUAUAAGCUCUUUGAAACAUCUUAUUAAAUUGUUUCGAAGCUCGUAAGCUUCUUCAAAGUAUUUAGCAAAAUAAGUUUCUAAAGAGCUUAUAAGCUCCUAAAAAAUAAGUUCCUUUAUUCAAUUUAUUUUUUCAUUAUUUUAUAAGCGACAUUAAUUUUCAGAACUUAUACCUAGGAAAAAAAAUUACGCUUAUGCUGUCUUGGAUUGUUA